UACAGAGGGGGCAAGCGUUGUUCGGAAUUACUGGGCGUAAAGCGCACGUAGGCGGAUUGUUAAGUCGAACGUGAAAUCCCUGGGCUCAACCCAGGAACUGCGUCCGAUACUGGAAGGCUUGAAUCCGGGAGAGGGAUGCGGAAUUCCAGGUGUAGCGGUGAAAUGCGUAGAUAUCUGGAGGAACACCGGUGGCGAAGGCGGCAUCCUGGACCGGUAUUGACGCUGAGGCGCGAAAGCCAGGGGAGCAAACGGG
rnacentral:rRNA from 1 species